rnacentral:snoRNA from 1 species
UCUACUCUAAUGCCACGCAACGUGUGGCCAAAAUGCGACGCCUCGCUUGCAGACGAGAUUAGGAGUGGCAUUCGUUACAUUUGAUUUUUUCUAACAUUAGCAUAUUUAUAUAUAUAUUAUCU